GGGGAGGAGGCCGGCAAAGUGGUGAGGGGGAGUGAGAGAAUGAGCGAGCGAGAGAGAGAGCUUCACAGAGGGACACUGUAGCUUUGGGAUGGCCAGUUGCGUAUGUACGGAGACUGAAUGCCAAUCCAAAGAUUACACCAGCUCCAGUCUGGAUCCAGCCUCCCACAAGGAUGUCAGAUGACCCAACACCAAUGGAAGAUGAUGCCAGACCAUGGAAAAACCUCAUAUGAAGCCCACAAAGAUGUCACAUGACCUAACAUCAGUGGAAGAUGACACCGGCCCAUGAAAGGACUUCAAAGGGCUUCAUACUGUAUGAUGCCAAUCUGAACUCUGAAUUGAUUUAAAUUUGUCUUUGUAGUUUUGAGUUUCUUAAAUAUUUGAUUUGUCAGGUGUUUCCUGUAUGCUGCUGAUUUUAUGCAUAUUCUACAUUUUGUCUUCUGUAAAGCUGUUUGCAACAGUGUAAACAUGUUGAAUUCAACAUAACUUAAUAUUUAGUUCUCAUUUGACCUCCAUUAAAUGAAAAAAGACAUUAUUGGAAAACAACUUU